CUGGGGAAGGGCUUCUGGUUGGAAAUCCCUUCCUUGUGGAGUUUUCCUGUCAGCUGAGAUCUUCAGAGACAGUGUCAGUUGUCAACUACAGACAGGAGAACCUGUUACCUUUCACUGUAAACAUUAACUGUAAGACUGGUGACUGCUAACAACCCUUCCCACACAAAACCUAAACGGCUCAGAGCCUUUAGAGAGCAGACAGGUCUGACGAGAACAACCGGGUUUUGAUUUGCUGUUGUUUCUUUUGUUGUUUUUUCCUGAUCUGAGCAGGGAUCUUUGGUUUCCUCUGCAGGACACCAGCAUCCCACCAAACCUUGACGCUGGUGUUUGGGCCACGCCAGCCUUUGUUACAGCUGUUUUCCAGAUGGGCACACACAGGCUAUGCCAGACACAGCCCCAGUAACGCAGAGCCCUGAGCUGCUCUAAACAAAAGGGUGGCUGCUAAACCUGCUAACACAAACUAAAACCAAGCAGACAAGGAGCGCAGCACACACACACACACACACACACACACCCUGCACUGCAGGUUCUCCUCUCUCCCCUUGGCCUGAUGCACGCACAGCACUAACAGCAGCGUCUCGGGCUCUAUUUUAAGCUUCUAUAGUAACAGAUGAGAUGCGAGGGACAGCACUGGGAAAGUACAUGCAUUGGUGCCAGAGGGAAAAGCGGGGACAAAAGGCAGUAGGUGUGGGGCUGGGACACAGUAGACCCCCUCUGGGGAUCAGAGGGCCUCAGUGCUCCUGAAUGAGCAGCUCCCUUAGAGCCGGCACUGAAGUCUAUGUGUGCUCAGAUACCACUCUCAUCGUUAUUCAGAAAGAAACAAAAUAAUACAUGCACAAAGAGAGGAACUGUGUGCUGAGCUCUCCCAGUUCUGCGACGCUCUGAUGCCGUGACUGC